AUGAACGCUGGCGGCGUGCCUAAUAUAUGCAAGUCGAGCGGUAAAGGCAUCUUCGGAGGUACUCGAGCGGCGGACGGCUGAGUAACACGUAGGAACGUACCCCAGACAUGAGGGAUAAUGCCUCGAAAGAUGUAGCUAAUACCGCAUAGUGGCUCUUCGGAUCUAAAGCUACGGCGGUUUGGGAACGGCCUGCGUACGAUUAGCUAGAUUGGUGAGGUAAAGGCUCACCAUGCCGACGAUCAGUUAGCUGGUCUGAGAGGAUGAUCAGCAAGACUGGGACUGAGAACGGCCCAGACUCCUACGGGGGGCAGCAGUAGGAAUCUUUCCAAUGGGGAAAGCCCUGACUGGAGCAACGCCGCGUGCAGGAUGAAGGCUUCGGAUUGUAAACUGCUUUAUAUGUGACGAUUAUGACGGUAGCCCUAUGAAUAAGGACCGGCUAACUACGUGCCAGCAGCCGCGAUCAUACGGAGGGAUCCAAGCGUUAUCCGGAAUUACUGGGCGUAAAGAGUUGCGUAGGUGGCAUAGGUAAGUAGAGUAGUGAAAGCAGUACGGGCUCAACCAUAUGCCCAUUAUCGAACUGCUAAGCUUAGAGUGCUGAGAGAGGUAUCUGGAAUUCCCAGUGUAGGAGUGAAAUCCGUAGAUAUUGGGAGGAACACCGAUGGCGUAGGCAGAUACUAGCCGCUAUCUGACACUAAGGCACGAAAGCGUGGGGAGCGAACGGGAUUAGAUACCCCGGUAGUCCACGCCGUAAACGAUGGAUGCUAGCUGUUAUGAGGUAUCGACCCUCGUAGUAGCGAAGCUAACGCGUUAAGCAUCCCGCCUGUGGAGUACGGUCCGCAAGACUGAAACAUAAAGGAAUUGACGGGGACCCGCACAAGCGGUGGAGCGUGUUGUUUAAUACGAAAGUAAGCGUAGAACCUCACCAAGGCUUGACAUCUCGGGAAGAUUUUCGAAAGAAAAUUGUGCCUUCGGGAACCCGAUGACAGGUGUUGCAUGGCCGUCGUCAGCUCGUGUCGUGAGAUGUUUGGUUAAGUCCAUCAACGAGCGCAACCCUUAUGAAUAGUUGAAUUUUUCUAUUCAGACUGCCCCGGUAACGGGGAGGAAGGAGGGGAUGAUGUCAGGUCAGUAUUGCCCUUACGCCUUGGGCCACAGACACGCUACAAUGGCCGGUACAAAGGGCUGCCAAGUCGCGAGACGGAGCAAAUCCCAUCAAAGCCGGUCCCAGUUCGGAUUGUAGGCUGAAACCCGCCUGCAUGAAGCCGGAAUCGCUAGUAAUGGCAGGUCAGCAUACUGCCGUGAAUACGUUCCCGGGUCUUGUACACACCGCCCGUCAAGUCAUGAAAGUCACCGAUACCUGACGUGCCAAUUUAUUUGGCCCUAGGGUAGGGGCGAUGAUUGGGACU
rnacentral:rRNA from 1 species